AACAAAUUCCUUCCUGGGAGACAAAAGUUUUACACAGUAGGUCUGGCGGCUGUGUGUUGGGCAAUUUGGUUGGCGCGCAACCGAGCUACCUUUGAAAAAAAGCAAAUCAAGACUCCUUUUGAGAUUGUGUUUUCUCUGUGUUCCUUUCUUCUUUACUGGGCAGGGCUUCAGCAAGGGGAGGACGCCAAGGAUCUUCAUUCCGGAGCCGAGAUGAUCAGAACUGGCACGAUGAAGCUGAUGAAGGUGUGCGGCGCUAUCAAGCAACCAAUCUAG
rnacentral:rRNA from 1 species